UACAGAGACUGCAAGCGUUAUUCGGAUUCACUGGGCGUAAAGGGUGCGCAGGCGGCCAAGUGUGUUAGGCGUGAAAGCCUGAGGCUUAUCCUCAGAAUUGCACCUAAAACUACAUGGCUAGAGCAUUGGAGAGGGUAGCGGAAUUCACGGUGUAGCAGUGAAAUGCGUAGAUAUCGUGAGGAACACCAGAGGCGAAGGCGGCUACCUGGACAAUCGCUGACGCUCAGGCACGAAAGCGUGGGGAGCAAAAGGG
rnacentral:rRNA from 1 species